UAUAAAAUCAUUUAAGUUGGAAACGAUGCUUGAGAUCAUCGAGUCCAAUCUUUAAUGCAGCACUGCCAAGUCCAUCACUAAACCAUGUCCCUAAG